rnacentral:lncRNA from 1 species
AUGUCUUUUUGUAUCUGCAGUGCCUGCUUGUACCCAGCUGUCUGGUUUUUGUUCCUCUGUGAUUUCCUCAAGGAUAGGAGUGGUGCUUGGCACAUGAUGGAAAUGGAACAUCUCCCAGGAUCUUCGUGGAAGAAAAGGAGAGAGAAGAGAGAGAAUCCAGAGGGAGCAGACUUGGAUGUUACACUGAGGAGUCUACAAGCGCAGACUCUGGCACCAGGCUGCCAGGGUCCAAAGAAAGCCCUUGGCCGGUCCUUUGUGCCUCAGUUUCCCCUCCUUGGAAUGCAGAAGUAUCUACCUUCUAGGGAAUGUCUUAAAAGUAAAGCACUUGAAAUAGGACCCCAUAAGUCUGCUGUGUUGGCUGCAGUCACAUCUGAGGGUCACUCAACCCCUGUGAAGUCAGCACUCUCUAUUCUUCCUCAGAGAAUGGGCUGUGGGCUCUGGGGAGGACAAUAGGCCUGGGGACUGUGGCCCUGAACAGAAAGUUCCAGUCUGAUGGGGCAGCACGGCCUGCUGCUACUGGCUGGAGAAGGACUCUGGCUGUGGUCAGAAUGAAGCAGAUGAGGCCCAAGUCUGGGACACCUCACUCUAGGGGUAAACAAAAAUGUUUCCUUCACUACUGCCUGGGCUCCUCUACUGCCCCAGCUACUCUCCAGCCAUGUUGUGCAAUGCACGUGAUUGGGAUGAAUGUGGCAGAAUCGGCCAUUCUGGGCACCUUGGGGUUUGAGGGACCUGGCUGCCCUGCCUCCCUCUGAAGCCCCCUCACCCCUUCCCUCCUCUAUUCCAGACUAUGUCCUCUCUCCUAUUUCAGCUGCCCCCAGCUUCCUGCACCAGAGUCAACUUUCUAAAGCACACAUUGGCUUGGCCUGUUUGGGAACCUUGCUUGGCUCCCACUACCCGGACUAUCAAUUGAGAUACUACUGAUGGGUAUGCAGGGCCCCUUGUGGUCUGACCUGGGCUCCUUCUCAUGCCUGCUUCCCACGUCUACUCUCAGCAGCUCCAUUGCCCCCAGCUCCCAGCAGGCCACAUGUCCCACACCCCUGGCCUUUGCUCACCGAGUCUCCUUGAAGUCAGUGCACUUCCCCUUCUCCACCUUUGAGAUCCUCACUGUCCUUAAAGGUCCUGUUUGACUGUUAGGUCCACUACUAAGACUUCCUAGCAAAGUGGCCACCCCCAGGCUCCUGUCAUUAAACCUCUUGUCAUUAGUCACAUGCCAGUGUUACACUUUAGUACAGUCAGCCUAGUACCUGGCCAGCGGGUAGAAGAAUGAAAAUGGCUUUAUCAGACUGCCUGGUGGAAUCUUAGUUUGGCUACUUUCCUGCUGUGUGAUGCUGAGCAAAUCAAUUUACUUCGCUGAGCCUCAGUUUUCUGGUCUACUAACUGGGGAUAACGCUCAUAUUACACAAGCCAGAUUCCUGUCUGUGUCCUGCAGGGCCCUAGCCUGACUAGCUUCCUU